rnacentral:rRNA from 1 species
GUGGAUUAGAUACCCUGGUAGUCCUAGCCGUAAACGAUGGGCACUAGGUGUGGGGGGUCAUCGACUCCCUCCGUGCCGCAGCUAACGCAUUAAGUGCCCCGCCUGGGGAGUACGGCCGCAAGGUUAAAACUCAAAGGAAUUGACGGGGGCCCGCACAAGCAGCGGAGCAUGUGGCUUAAUUCGACGCAACGCGAAGAACCUUACCAAGGCUUGACAUGCAAGUGAAGCGGCGGAAACGCCGUGGCCGAGAGGAGCUUGCACAGGUGGUGCACGGCUGUCGCCAACU